rnacentral:rRNA from 1 species
AUUGAACGCUGGCGGCAGGCCUAACACAUGCAAGUCGAGCGGAGCGGCGGACGGGUGAGUAAUGCCUAGGAAUCUGCCUGGUAGUGGGGGAUAACUCCCGGAAACGGGCGCCAAUACCGCAUACUAUCAGAUGAGCCUAGGUCGGCUUAGCUAGUUGGUGGUGUAAAGGCUUACCAAGGCGACGAUCCGUAGCUGGUCUGAGAGGAUGAUCAGUCACACUGGAACUGAGACACGGUCCAGACUCCUACGGGAGGCAGCAGUGGGGAAUAUUCGACAAUGGGCGAAAGCCUGAUCCAGCCAUGCCGCGUGUGUGAAGAAGGUCUUCGGAUUGUAAAGCACUUUAAGUUGAUAGGCUGUACCCACAGAAUAAGCACCGGCUAACUUCGUGCCAGCAGCCGCGGUAAUAC